rnacentral:rRNA from 1 species
ACGCGUACAAAACCCUACCUUUUACUGGGGGAAAGGUUCGCUGGAAACGGCGAAUAAUCCCGCAUACGACUACGAAGACACAUGUUUUAGUAGUGAAAGGCUUCGGCUGGUAAAAGAUGGUUGUGCGUCCCAUUAGCUAGAUGGUAAGGUAACGGCUUACCAUGGCGACGAUGGGUAGGGGCGUGAGAGCGUGGUCCCCCACACGGGUACGUGAGACACGGACCCGGACCACCUACGGGAGGGCGAGCAGUAAGGAAUAUUGGUUCGAAUGGAGGGAACGUCUGAACCAGCCACUGCCGC